rnacentral:rRNA from 1 species
UCUGGAGACAGGUGCUGCAUGGCUGUCGUCAGCUCGUGUCGUGAGAUGUUGGGUUAAGUCCCGCAACGAGCGCAACCCUUGCCUUUAGUUGCCAGCAGUUCGGCUGGGCACUCUAAAGGGACUGCCGGUGUUAAACCGGAGGAAGGUGGGGAUGACGUCAAGUCCUCAUGGCCUUUAUGACCAAGGCUACACACGUACUACAAUGGCCGAUACAAAGGGCAGCGACACUGCGAGGUGAAGCCAAUCCCGUAAAAUCGGUCUCAGUCCGGAUUGGAGUCUGCAACUCGACUCCAUGAAGUUGGAAUCGCUAGUAAUCGUGGAUCAGCAUGCCACGGUGAAUACGUUCCCGGGCCUU